GCAAAAUGGCUGCUAAAAAAGUUAAUAUGAUUUUGUUCUAUUUAUAGAAACAGAAUCUAGAAUAAGGAAGGUUAUGAUCUCAUGUUGUUCUAAAAUGACCUCACCUGAAGUACAAUGGUAGUAAUCAAAGAGAGGUGGUGUGACAGGGAUUUUCAGCACACAGCCCGUGAGUAGCUGGGAUGGAGAAGAUGGGGGUAGAGAAGAUGGGGGACCUGUGAAUGUUCUGCCUAGAUGAGAGAUACCAGGACUAGGAUUCAUGAUUUCAACUACAUGAAGGACUGGAAAGGCUGCUCUAUAAAGGAGGAUUCCUUCUGGAAAUGCCUUAGGCAAUGAAGCUUAAAGAGACACUUUAAAUCCAGUGCUGAGCAGAGAGGAAAGGCUCUUCAAACACUAAAUGGGACUGAACAGAAGAUUUCAUGCACUCAAUAGCCAUCAGGAAACCCUGUCGAGCUCUAUAGGACCUGAAGAGAAUGAGGGCAAGCAUAAAUGACAUUGACAGAAUGAGUGAUACAAAUGGCCACAGCUGCAAAACGAAGGCAACCGAUUUGCACUUUUCAUUAUCAUAAAAUCCAUAAACAUAAGCUAUGAUAACAGUGUACUUAUAAGCAAUAAAGAUUUCUAAUAAGCUGGAAUGAACUGAUGGUUGUACGGGGUAAGACAUAAGAAAGGAAAUGUACUUGUUGUUGUCUUCUCUUUAAAAAUCUAGAUUGACAUAUUUGUAUACUUAAGUUGUGAGUAGGAACAGAAUCACAGUUCUCUGAUACAAACCACCUGGAGGAUGAGAAGAACUUCUGUUCAUUUCUCAAACUAUGAAAUUCUGACAGUCUUUUUAGAUAGUUUGAGAAAAAAGGAGUUGGGAAAAAUCACAAUUACAUAAGUGGCUUGAUAAUAACGAGUGAUCUGCCUCAUUAAAUUCAAGGCAAGGGCUGUGAUUUGAUUAAACAUUUACAAGAAUGUCUUUGCUAUGGUAAAUCCUUACAUUAUGCCUGUGAAGAAAUUCCCUACUGAUUACACUAAAUUACCAAAUAAGCCUCCUAGAAGUUGAGUAUUGAGUGUGAUUCUCAGUCAUCUUAACUGAUUUCUCCUCAUUUCUCCAACCUGAAAUAUUGGAUCACCUCAGAAGUAAAU